UCAAAUGUUAAGUUCACUGUGUAUCCCUUGUAGUUAAAAUAAAUAAAUAUAAUAACCUUUAUGUUAUUCAUACGUAUUUGUGUACUGCGUUUACGGGAAUUCUUUUUAAGAUCUUCCCAUUUU